UGGUGGAGUGAUUUGUCUGGUUAAUUCCGGUAACGAGCGAGACCUCAGCCUACUAAUUAGACGCUUCAAUCUUUGCUUGAAGUGUGCUUCUUAGAGGGACUCUCGGCGGUUGAGCCGAUGGAAGUUUGAGGCAAUAACA
rnacentral:rRNA from 1 species